UACGUAGGGGGCAAGCGUUGUUCGGAAUUACUGGGCGUAAAGGGCGCGUAGGCGGCACUGUUAGUCAGGCGUGAAAUUCCUGGGCUCAACCUGGGGACUGCGCUUGAUACGGCAGAGCUUGAGGAUGGAAGAGGGUCGCGGAAUUCCCAGUGUAGAGGUGAAAUUCGUAGAUAUUGGGAAGAACACCGGUGGCGAAGGCGGCGACCUGGUCCAUUACUGACGCUGAGGCGCGACAGCGUGGGGAGCAAACAGG
rnacentral:rRNA from 1 species